UGUGCCUACGGGGGGCAGCAGUGGGGAAUAUUGCACAAUGGGCGCAAGCCUGAUGCAGCGACGCCGCGUGCGGGAUGGAGGCCUUCGGGUUGUAAACCGCUUUUGUUCAAGGGCAAGGCACGGUCUUUGGCCGUGUUGAGUGGAUUGUUCGAAUAAGCACCGGCUAACUACGUGCCAGCAGCCGCGGUAAUACGUAGGGUGCAAGCGUUAUCCGGAUUUAUUGGGCGUAAAGGGCUCGUAGGCGGUUCGUGGCGCCCGGUGUGAAAGGCGAUGGCUUAAGGGUGGAUCCGAGCAGGGUAAGGGCG
rnacentral:rRNA from 1 species